UACGGGGGGGGCAAGCGUUGCUCGGAAUGACUGGGCGUAAAGGGCGCGUAGGCGGCUUGUAUAGUCGGAUGUGAAAUUCCCAGGCUUAACCUGGGAACGGCAUCCGAUACUGGAGGGCUUGAAUUCGGGAGAGGGAUGCAGAAUUCCAGGUGUAGCGGUGAAAUGCGUAGAUAUCUGGAGGAAUACCGGUGGCGAAGGCGGCAUCCUGGACCGAGAUUGACGCUGAGGAGCGAAAGCUAGGGGAGCAAACGGG
rnacentral:rRNA from 1 species